UUCCUCGAACUGACUCCUUCUUGUUAAUAUACAAUUAGGGCCGUCACUCUCCCAGUGAGGGAUCCCCCACUCCCAGCCUCUGCCCCCCCACUCACCUGGACAGUGCGGGGUAAAGGCCCUGGGGAAUGGGCCCAGGAGGCAAGAAGAAUCCCGGGCCAGUGAGCAGCGGGCAUACUCGCCAUGGUCUUCCAGAAGUGAUGUUAUUGUACCUGCUGGGAGUGCGUGUGAGAGAGAAGAUCAUGUAGAUAUGACACCACCAUGAGGACCCUCACACAUCUGCUGGAAUUAUCUUUUGUUACAUCUCUGGCGCUGAGGAGAUACCUAAUGGAAAGGUAGCAGACAUCAAGGACCGAAGACCUGACAAGGAACCAGUCAGCAAAACGCUUGUUUCCAAACUGCAUCAGGGGUCAACAGACCUCCCCACCAAACAUCUCUAGAAUCUACAAUGAAAUGCAUUAAAUCUAAUAAAAUCUUAAAGACUUUU